UGCCAGACUCCUACGGGAGGCAGCAGUGAGGAAUAUUGGUCAAUGGGCGGGAGCCUGAACCAGCCAAGUCGCGUGAGGGAAGACGGUCCUACGGAUUGUAAACCUCUUUUGCCGGGGAGCAACGGGGUCCUUGCGAGGGCCCGAUGAGAGUACCCGGAGAAAAAGCAUCGGCUAACUCCGUGCCAGCAGCCGCGGUAAUACGGAGGAUGCGAGCGUUAUCCGGAUUUAUUGGGUUUAAAGGGUGCGUAGGCGGGCUGUUAAGUCAGCGGUCAAAUGGCGGGGCUCAACCCCGGCCUGCCGUUGAAACUGGUUUUCUUGAGUGAGCGAGAAGUAUGCGGAAUGCGUGGUGUAGCGGUGAAAUGCAUAGAUAUCACGCAGAACUCCGAUUGCGAAGGCAGCAUACCGGCGCUCAACUGACGCUCAUGCACGAAAGUGUGGGUAUCGAACAGGAUUAGAUACCCCCGUU
rnacentral:rRNA from 1 species